rnacentral:rRNA from 1 species
UCCCAGACUCCUACGGGAGGCAGCAGUGAGGAAUAUUGGUCAAUGGCCGGAAGGCUGAACCAGCCAAGCCGCGUGAGGGAGGAAGGCGCAGAGCGUCGCAGACCUCUUUUGCCGGGGGACAAAAGGCCGGACUCGUCCGGUCCUGAGGGUACCCGGAGAAAAAGCAUCGGCUAACUCCGUGCCAGCAGCCGCGGUAAUACGGAGGAUGCGAGCGUUAUCCGGAUUCAUUGGGUUUAAAGGGUGCGCAGGCGGGCCUGUAAGCCGGCGGUGAAAUCGCGGGGCUCAACCCCACCGAGCCGUCGGAACUGGGGGCCUUGAGUGCGGCGGAGGCAUGCGGAAUGCGCGGUGUAGCGGUGAAAUGCAUAGAUAUCACGCAGAACUCCGAUUGCGAAGGCAGCAUACCGGCGCCCAACUGACGCUGAAGCACGAAAGCGUGGGUAUCGAACAGGAUUAGAUACCCCCGUAA